GUCCUGUUGUCCUCUCCUCUCCUUUGACUCGGCUUGUAUCUCGCUUACCUGUCCUCCGGCUCCCUCGACCUCGGCUUACCUUUUGACUAUUCUUGCUUUGUCCCUACGUUAGUCCGGCCAUUCUAAGGUCCGGUAUACGUACCUCCUUCUGUCCGCACUCUGCGUAUUGGAUCCCUGUCAGUAUCCUGACAUUACGACAGGGCCAAAUGGAUCCUGCAGGUGCUAGUCCUCCUGACCCCAGAUUUGAGGCCAUGGACCAUAGAAUGGACCAAAUGGCUUUAGUAUUACAAACUUUGUUAACACGCUCCAGCACUCAGUCUGAAGAAAUACGUUCCACUGCUAGCCACUCGCUAAGUACUGGUUUGGAAGUAGCCACUGUAGG
rnacentral:lncRNA from 1 species